rnacentral:rRNA from 1 species
GAUUCUGGUUGAUCCUGCCAGUAGUCAUAUGCUUGUCUCAAAGAUUAAGCCAUGCAUGUCUAAGUUUAAGCAAUAAACAGUGAAACUGCGAAUGGCUCAUUAAAUCAGUCAUAGUUUAUUUGAUGGUACCUUACUACAUGGAUAACUGUGGUAAUUCUAGAGCUAAUACAUGCUGAAAAAUCCCGACUUCUGGAAGGGAUGUAUUUAUUAGAUCCAAAACCAAUGGCCUUCGGGUCCCUAUGGUGAAUCAUGAUAACUGCUCGAAUCGCAUGGCCUUGCGCCGGCGAUGCUUCAUUCAAAUAUCUGCCCUAUCAACUUUCGAUGGUAGGAUAGAGGCCUACCAUGGUGAUGACGGGUAACGGGGAAUAAGGGUUCGAUUCCGGAGAGAGGGCCUGAGAAACGGCCCUCAGGUCUAAGGACACGCAGCAGGCGCGCAAAUUAUCCCCUGGCAACACUUUGCCGAGAUAGUGACAAUAAAUAACAAUGCAGGGCUCUUACGGGUCUUGCAAUUGGAAUGAGUACAAUUUAAAUCCCUUAACGAGGAUCAAUUGGAGGGCAAGUCUGGUGCCAGCAGCCGCGGUAAUCCCAGCUCCAAUAGCGUAUAUUAAAAUUGUUGCCGUUAAAAAGCUCGUAGUCGAACUUCGGGCUCUGUCAGCCGGUCCGCCUUCUUGGUGUGUACUUGUUUGACGGAGCCUUACCUCCUGGUGAACGGCGAUGUCCUUUACUGGGUGUCGUCGCAAACCAGGACUUUUACUUUGAAAAAAUUAGAGUGUUCAAAGCAGGCCUUUGCCCGAAUACAUUAGCAUGGAAUAAUAAAAUAGGACGCGCGUUCCCAUUUUGUUGGUUUCUGAGAUCGCCGUAAUGAUUAAUAGGGAUAGUUGGGGGCAUUUGUAUUCCGUCGUCAGAGGUGAAAUUCUUGGAUUGCCGGAAGACAAACUACUGCGAAAGCAUUUGCCAAGGAUGUUUUCAUUGAUCAAGAACGAAGGAAGGGGGAUCGAAAACGAUUAGAUACCGUUGUAGUCUCUUCUGUAAACUAUGCCAAUUGGGGAUCGGUACAGGAUUUUUAAUGACUGUAUCGGCACCCGAAGAGAAAUCUUUAAAUGAGGUUCGGGGGGGAGUAUGGUCGCAAGGCUGAAACUUAAAGGAAUUGACGGAAGGGCACCACCAGGUGUGGAGCCUGCGGCUUAAUUUGACUCAACACGGGGAAACUCACCAGGUCCAGACACAAUAAGGAUUGACAGAUUGAUAGCUCUUUCUUGAUCUUGUGGUUGGUGGUGCAUGGCCGUUCUUAGUUGGUGGAGUGAUUUGUCUGGUUAAUUCCGAUAACGAACGAGACCUUAACCUGCUAAAUAGACCAGCCGGCUUUGGCUAGCUGCUGUCUUCUUAGAGGGACUAUCAGCGUUUAGCUGAUGGAAGUUUGAGGCAAUAACAGGUCUGUGAUGCCC